rnacentral:rRNA from 1 species
GGACUACAGGGGUAUCUAAUCCCGUUUGCUCCCCACGCUUUCACACCUCAGUGUCAGUACCUAGCUGGUUAAUUGUCUUCACCUUCGGCCGUCCUUCUGAUAUCGACACAUUUUAUCUCUACUCCAGAAGUUCGAUUAACCUGUUUGUGGUACUCAAGUUCAGAAUACUUUAAACCCCUCAGAGAAUUACUCUUAGCUUUCAGCUUAAAGAUUUAGAACCACCUACGUGUCCUGUACGCCCAGUCAUGUCGAAUAACACUCGCCCCCUCCGUUUUACCGCGGCUGCUGGCAC